rnacentral:lncRNA from 1 species
UAAGAACAACAACUUAAACACACACAUGAUAAAUACAUCAAGUAUUUUUAUUGAAUUCAGAAUUUCAAGAGUAUAAAGCUCCCUUACUUGGAUUGCAGUGAACUCCCUAAUUUGAGGUUAAGUUUUUCCUUCCUUUGCUUCUCUUCACUCUCCCAUGAGCUAUUUCUCUUUUCUCUCACCAACUAGCACUAUUUUUUUAUGUUUGUUUUCUUUUGUUUGUAUGAGUAUGCUAACUCCUCUCAACUUCACUACCCUAUAAACCAUUUAAUUACAAGGGACAAUAGCAUUAUUAUUUUUAAAAUGAUUUAAUGGAAAUUAAAAUUGUGUUUCCUCUUCUAUAUUCCUUUCUCUACCAUUUUCCUAUCUACACCCCCUCUAUGCUCUCAACACCUCUAUAUAUAACUUUCUACUUCUUUUUCUUCUUU